rnacentral:ncRNA from 1 species
AAUCUUCAGGGCGAGGUGUAAUUCCUCACCGGCGGUACAGCCCGCGAGCCUUUUUGGUUGAUUUGGUGAAAUUCCAAAGCCGACGGUUAAAGUCCGGAUGAAAGAAGAA